UCGUCUUCAGAUCAUUUUUCCUAUUCAAAGCCUAUGUUACACAUUUAGCCACACUUAUUUCUUUCUCUAUUUUAGUGAAAACAUAAGAAAGGCUUAAGGAGGAAUAAGGAGGGAUCUCUUCUCUGAGAUUUAAAAAAUCUGUUCUGCUCCCAGGAGAUGGGGCUUAAUGUUUGUCCCAUGGACAUGGAACUAUUGAAUCUCUGAAAUUGCCCUUUUCAGAGACAUUGUCUGUUUUCUCAUUAUAGUUGUAGCUGAAUCUGGAUCAAAUUCGGUCCCUGGAACCAUGACAUGUCCAGAGUUUGACCUAAGCCACAGAAUACACCACAAGGACCAUUUGACUGUCCCCUCUGGCUUCUGUAUCUUGCUUCCAGCAUGAACAGACAGCUGCUCAAGUUGCUGAGGAGUUGGCCUGCUAUUCUUUUUCCCCCCAAGCUCCGUGAAUACCCUCCAUCAAGACAACAUCCACCAAGCAUUAUGAGUGCUGCAUUGCUCAUCUGAGCAGGUUAAUUAAAGUUAAGUAGAAGGGGAGUGAUUAGGAACACAGAAGAGGUGAGAUGUGAGUUGAGCCUUCAAGAAUGGAAAAGCUUUUAAGAAAAGAAGAUGGCAGCAGAGGGAGCAUUGCAGAAAUAGGAAAAACAAUCCUAAAAUUCAUAUGGAACUAAAAAAGAGCCUGUAUAGCCAACGCAAUUGUGAACAAAGAGCAAAGAAGAAGAAACAAAGCUGGAGGCAUCACACUAACUGAUUUCAAAAUAUAGUAUGAGUUUGCAGUAACCAAAACAGAAUGGUAUUGGCAUAAAAAGAAACACAUAUAGACCAGUGGAAGAAUAGAGAAUCUAAGAAUAAAUCCAUGUAUUUACAGCCAACUGAUUUUGACAAAAGCACCAAAAACAGAUAUUGGAGAAAGGACACCCUUUUCAGUAAAUGGUGCUGUGAAAACUGGAUAUCUGUAUGCAGAAGAAUGAAACUGGA